AGAGUUUGAUCCUGGCUCAGAUUGAACGCUGGCGGAAUGCUUUCACAUGCAAGUCGAACGAUGAAGCCUAGCUUGCUAGGUGGAUUAGUGGCGGACGGGUGAGUAAUAUAUCGGAACGUAUCCAAUAAUGGGGGACAACUAGCCGAAAGGUUAGCUAAUACCGCAUACGCCCUGAGGGGGAAAGCUGGGGAUCUUCGGACCUGGCGUUAUUGGAGCGGCCGAUAUCUGAUUAGCUAGAUGGUGGGGUAAGGGCCUACCAUGGCGACGAUCAGUAGCUGGUCUGAGAGGACGACCAGCCACACUGGGACUGAGACACGGCCCAAACUCCUACGGGAGGCAGCAGUGGGGAAUUUUGGACAAUGGGGGCAACCCUGAUCCAGCCAUUCCGCGUGAGUGAAGAAGGCCUUCGGGUUGUAAAGCUCUUUCACAAGAGAAGAAACGGCAUAGGUUAUUAGCUUAUGUUAAUGACGGUACCUUGAGAAGAAGCACCGGCUAACUACGUGCCAGCAGCCGCAGUAAUACGUAGGGUGCGAGCGUUAAUCGGAAUUACUGGGCGUAAAGCGUGCGCAGGCGGUUUGGUAAGUCAGAUGUGAAAUCCCCGAGCUCAACUUGGGAACUGCGUUUGAAACUACCAGACUAGAAUAUGUCAGAGGGGGGUAGAAUUCCACGUGUAGCAGUGA
rnacentral:rRNA from 1 species